rnacentral:rRNA from 1 species
AUACGUAGGGGGCGAGCGUUGUCCGGAAUGAUUGGGCGUAAAGGGCGCGUAGGCGGCGCGGUAAGUCUGGAGUGAAAGUCCUGCUUUCAAGGUGGGAAUUGCUUUGGGUACUGCCGCGCUUGAGUGCAGGAGAGGUUAUCGGAAUUCCCGGUGUAGCGGUGAAAUGCGUAGAGAUCGGGAGGAACACCAGUGGCGAAGGCGGGUAACUGGACUGCAACUGACGCUGAGGCGCGAAAGUGUGGGGAGCAAACAGGAUUAGAUACCCUGGUAGUCCACACUGUAAACGAUGAAUGCUAGGUGUAAGAGGUAUCGACCCCUUUUGUGCCGGAGUCAACACAAUAAGCAUUCCGCCUGGGGAGUACGGCCGCAAGGUUGAAACUCAAAUGAAUUGACGGGG